CCUACGGGAGGCAGCAGUGAGGAAUAUUGGUCAAUGGACGAGAGUCUGAACCAGCCAAGUAGCGUGAAGGAUGACUGCCCUAUGGGUUGUAAACUUCUUUUAUAUGGGAAUAAAAUGUUCCACGUGUGGGUUUUUGUAUGUACCAUAUGAAUAAGGAUCGGCUAACUCCGUGCCAGCAGCCGCGGUAAUACGGAGGAUCCGAGCGUUAUCCGGAUUUAUUGGGUUUAAAGGGAGCGUAGAUGGAUUGUUAAGUCAGUUGUGAAAGUUUGCGGCUCAACCGUAAAAUUGCAGUUGAAACUGGCAGUCUUGAGUACAGUAGAGGUGUGCGGAAUUCGUGGUGUAGCGGUGAAAUGCUUAGAUAUCACGAAGAACUCCGAUUGCGAAGGCAGCUCACUGGACUGCAACUGACACUGAGGCUCGAAAGUGUGGGUAUCAAACAGGAUUAGAUACCCCAGUAGUC
rnacentral:rRNA from 1 species